GGAUUAGAUACCCUGGUAGUCCACGCCGUAAACGAUGAGUGCUAGAUGUGGCGGGUAUUGACCCCUGCCUUGUCGUAGUUAACGCGUUAAGCACUCCGCCUGGGGAGUACGGCCGCAAGGCUAAAACUCAAAGGAAUUGACGGGGGCCCGCACAAGCGGUGGAGCAUGUGGUUCAAUUCGACGCAACGCGCAGAACCUUACCUGGGUUAAAUCCAUCGGAAUCCUGCAGAGACGUGGGAGUGCCCUUCGGGGAAUCGAUGAGAAGGUGCUGCAUGGCUGUCGUCAGCUCGUGCCG
rnacentral:rRNA from 1 species